GGAGGAGGAGGAGGAGGAGGAGGAGGAAAUAAAACGAGAGGUCUGCAGCAACAGAGAACAGAGGAGGAAACGGCUAAAUGAGUUACUUUUACAGAGAGAGAGGUGGAAUCACUCUGGAAAGGGGGCCAGGUCCAGUGGUGGACAGAACUGAAACCACAGCACUGACCUCGACAGAAGUUUCCCAGAGAGCACACGUGGCAUCGAAGCAACGCAACGAAGCCAUCUCGUGCACGGACAGACAGGCGUGUUGAACUUUGUGCUCAGAAGGGCAUCGCAGCAAGGACAAAACCAUGGCAACCCAUCUUUUGUCCAGGCGGCGAGAGAUGAAAGCGGCUGUCCUGGAUGAAGCAAAGACCAGCUGAAAACGAAUUUGCACUAGUGCUGAGUGAACAAGCACGCAAAAAUAAAGUCUGUAUGUACGUCUGUCUGCAGAGUGGACACACUAUAAACACACACGCUUUGAUCGCUCUCACUCUGGCACCUUAAACAAAAGCGGUUAGGACGUAGAUUUCAUUUAAGGUGGACGUACGUUGGUGGAGCUCUCUCGUUUCCAAGAGACGAGGGGCUCACGAUCCGCCCGGAGGGGGACGCAAAUGUAGCCUAGGCCCUAAGUAGGUCGAAACCGAACCCUCCUUUCCUCGUUAAGCUUUCAAAGUCACAUUGCACCUUUGGGAAACGGCACAAGGAGAAGUGAGCCAGUUAAAAGCUGUUAGAACAGUGUUAGGGGGCUUGCUUCGCCUCAACAAGACGGCGUCUGCCGUGUCCCGGUGAAUAGGCGGGGGUGGGGGGUGGGGUAGGAGUUUUGGCAUCGCUGCAAGAGAAUUUCUAAUGAGGUUUAAGAAAGAGGUUAUUUUUUAAGACAAGAAAAAGGAGCCCGAGUCCUGGCUGCUAUGGAAACGGAGACUAUAUUCACCAUAGGAAUGUGUAUUGUUAACUUUUUUCAGUAUUGCUUCCAAGAAAUAAAAAGGUGUGUGUGUGUGUGUGUGUGUGUGUGUGUGUGUGUGAGGGGUAGGAGUGGUUUUGUUUACUCCAGGCUGCCUUUCAGAACGCUUCACUCCUUGCUCCAGAGCACUGACAAUCAGAAUGUCGGGAGGAGGGAGGGAAGAAGAGGGAAGCUCAGACCCAUCUACCCAGAAUGCUCUGCAGAAGUGCCAUGUUGUCUAGGCGCGCUCAUGCACUCUUUUCAAAGCAAUAUCUCCUUUAAUACGGACUAAAUAAGGACUUUGGUUGUUGGUUUUUGUGAAUAUCUGAGGAUUUUUUUUUCCUUUUCUGUACAAAUCCAGAACAGGUUGUUUUCAUCUGAGGAGCUGGUGAGGCGGUCCACUCGGUGGAAGCAUGGACGUAAUUUUGGGGGGGGGGACAGGGGGGACAUGUCCCCCCCACUUUUUCCAAAGUCAAGUUUUGACCCCUGCAUUUUUUACCAUCCAAAAGCAACAUUACGCUAUAUGAAAUUGACACUGGUUGAGCUCUAGGACCAAGCGGAAAACAACUGUUUGUGUUGAAGGCUGUUUCCAAUUAGAGCAUACUGUAAAGAUACCCGCCCCCCCCCCCCACUUCUAAAGUGAAAAUUACGUCCAUAGGUGGAAGUUUGGUUUCGUGUGAAUGUACCGUCCUUCCUUCAGCAGCAGCGUGUAGAUCUGCUAUUAUCCACGUGGAUCUGGGUAAAAAAAACAACAUGAAGCUAACAAUCCAACCUUCUUUCUGCUGAGAUGUUUUUAACAAGUUGCUGACCAAUAUAUCAGACCUUUCUACUCACGACUGACACGGUUGUAGAUGAUCUCCGACGGUUUUGUAGAGCUACGUAUUUAGUCCUCUCCUUUUGUUUUUGGUCAGACAAUCAGUGACAGUGAAAGCGUUUAUCCUCCGGUGUUUCCGCUCUCUUUCAGUAGUGUGGCUUCUUAUAACGAGCCAAGAAAGUGCAAUUGCUUUGACUGUUUACAUACUGUAUGUAUAUUUUCCCUCUCUCUCUUUUUUUUAACUAAAGGCACUACGUUAUCGCCAGCGGAUGAUUAACUUUAUAGCAAAGGUACACAGAGUUAUUUAUCAAGUCUGCAUGACAUUGUAAGCUUCGCCCGUUGCCUCUGACGGCGUGCAUCUGAGAAACAAAACAAGAUAAAUCAGUGAUCGUAGCGUAGAAUGUAAGCUGAAGCAUUUUGCCUCAAUACCCAUAAUAAUAAAAGCAUUUUAUGUCUCCUAUGACCUACAAA